CAAAACACCUCUCAAAGCUUUUGUCUGUCUCCCCUUUAAAUAGAUUGUGUUCAUUUUGAGCUUUUGUCUGUCUAAGACCUCUUUGAACAAAUGGUACAGACAGUCUCCGCUUCUGUUUUUCUUAUUUGUGUCAUGUUUGUGCAUUUCUUUUAAUAAUGACAUAUCAGGUAAUGCUCUUAAUUUACCUACUCAGCCUGAAACUGCAGGAUGGAAAUAAUAUCUAUGGAUAUGGCUCUGUAGGGUAGCAACAGUCGCUUUGGGCUACAAACGCUAAAAAUAACUUGCUCUCAGCAGCAACUCAGAAACAACAAAAGUGGUUCCAUGUGGACUGUUUCAAUUGCUGUUGUUCCCAAGCUACUGCCUGUGAAGCCACUGAAGACCACCUUGAAGAAAGCUGAAAUAAUAAAUGAGUUGGAUCCAGGCUAUUAAGUUAGCUGCUUUGAAAUCAAUGUGAAUAGUUAAUUAUGCUCAUUUAGGUUCAAUGGGAUGCAAGUUGACUUAGCCUAGAUCCAAUCCAGCAAAACAAAAUAAUUAAAAACACUUAUUUGCCAGUGGAGCAACCAAACAAUUGUGGUUCAUCUGAUCAAUGGUGCAAAAAGAAAAAAAAACCUGCUUCUUGAUUAAUAAGAAUCUAUAUAAAUGAAAAGUUGGGUCCAUCUACACAGAACAGCAUUAAGAAAUGAUAAUGUAAUAUUUUGAAUGUACUGUA